rnacentral:rRNA from 1 species
UCUUGAUCUGAAAUCAGGUAGGAUUACCCGCUGAACUUAAGCAUAUCAAUAAGCGGAGGAAAAGAAACUAACAAGGAUUCCCCUAGUAACGGCGAGUGAAGCGGGAAAAGCUCAAAUUUUAAAUCGAAUGGGGUACCCUAUUCGAGUUGUAUUUUCAAGAGACGUUUUCGGAUCGCGCCUGGGUAUAAGUCCUUUGGAACAGGGCAUCAUAGAGGGUGAGAAUCCCGUUUAUGACCCGGAGCGGCGGUCUAUGUGAUACGUUUUCAAAGAGUCAGGUUGUUUGGGAAUGCAGCCUAAAAUGGGUGGUAAAUUUCAUCUAAAGCUAAAUAUUGGCGAGAGACCGAUAGCGAACAAGUACCGUGAGGGAAAGAUGAAAAGAACUUUGAAAAGAGAGUUAAACAGUACGUGAAAUUGUUGAAAGGGAAACGUUUGAAAUCAGUCAUGUAAACGAGUAAUCAGCUUGGCUUUUGCCUUGUGCACUUUCUCGUUCGCAGGUCAACGUCAGUUUUGAUACUAGUCGGAUAAAAAAUCAAGGGAAUGUGGCUCUCUUUCACGAGGGGGUGUUAUAGCCCUGGUUAAAAUACGAUGAUUAAGACUGAGGUCUGCAGCCAAUACCCUUUAUGGGCUGGGUAUUUCUUUUGCUCAUAGGUAACCGAGUUCAGACAGCUUGCUGACUAGGUUUGAAUUGCUUGUGACUUCGAAGGAUUUUUAUCACAAAUUGGCUUGGGUCGCUGACGUAAUG